AAAAUGGCCACCCGUGAAAGACAGCUGCUGAGGGGAAAAACGUGUUUUGUUGAUCUCCUGCUCAGAAAAGCAAUCCAUAUGGUGGUUAAAGGUUUGACCAAGACGAGGAUUCUCAAAUAUUACAUUCUAAGCACCUACUUGAAAUAAUGAAUGUUCAAGAAAUGGACUAUGGAGAGGAUAGUCUGCCUCUUAUUGAAGUAUUUCCUAAAAUUCCAGUCCAGCUAAUGCACUUUUUGGACAACUUUUUAUAGCUCAAACGAAGGAAGAACGAAAUAAGGAGGCUACUUUUCUUAUUUCAGCCUUCAAGGUGAAGAAGUGGAUAAAGAAUCUAAACUGACACCUUAUGGUGAAAAAAUUAGUCGAGGAUAUAGCAGUCCAGAUGCCAAGUCAAACCCUUUACAAGACCCUCGAACUAGCUUUGGAUUCGGAACGCAAGUCAUGGUUUUCUUUUGAAUUGAUGUAGUUCAGAAUUU